rnacentral:rRNA from 1 species
CCGAGAUGAGUUCUCCCUGACUCCUUGAGAGUCCUGAAGGAACGUUGAAGACGACGACGUUGAUAGGCCGGGUGUGUAAGCGCAGCGAUGCGUUGAGCUAACCGGUACUAAUGAACCGUGAGGCUUAACCUUACAACGCCGAAGCUGUU